rfam:Trichomalopsis sarcophagae strain Alberta scaffold6952, whole genome shotgun sequence.
CAAUCGGCCCUUUUCAGGGCCACCAAAAUAUGAAACGUAGAAUAUU